GGCUACAGAAGAUGUUUUCAUUCUGUGUGGCCUUGAUUGUUACAUGAGAGAGACAAGAUGGGUGAGGAUCCUUGCAAACAUGAUUUCUCUCUCUCUCGGUCUUCCCAGCCCCAAUAAGGCUAUUCCACCUGCAUACUAGAUGGGACAACAUGCAGAGCUGUGGCCCAGAAACAGCUUCACAUGGUGACAUGGUGGUUCCCCA